rnacentral:rRNA from 1 species
GACGGGGGCCCGCACAAGCGGUGGAGCAUGUGGUUUAAUUCGAAGCAACGCGAAGAACCUUACCAGGCCUUGACAUGCAGAGAACUUUCCAGAGAUGGAUUGGUGCCUUCGGGAACUCUGACACAGGUGCUGCAUGGCUGUCGUCAGCUCGUGCCGUGAGAUGUUGGGUUAAGUCCCGCAACGAGCGCAACCCUUGUCUUAUGUUGCCAGCACGUGAUGGUGGGGACUCGUAAGAGACUGCCGGGGUCAACUCGGAGGAAGGUGGGGACGACGUCAAGUCAUCAUGCCCCUUAUGUCCAGGGCUUCACACAUGCUACAAUGGCCAGUACAGAGGGCUGCGAGACCGUGAGGUGGAGCGAAUCCCUUAAAGCUGGUCUCAGUUCGGAUCGGGGUCUGCAACUCGACCCCGUGAAGUCGGAGUCGCUAGUAAUCGCAGAUCAGCAACGCUGCGGUGAAUACGUUCCCGGGCCUU